rnacentral:sRNA from 1 species
GCCCCCGCCACUUAAACGUGCUGUGCGACGUGUCUGGGAAAGGCCCCGUCACUGCCUGUGACUUUGACCUCCGCAGCCUGCAGCCUGACAAGCGGCUAGAAAACCUCCUGCAGCAAGUGAGCGCCGAGGACUUUGAGAAGCAGAACGAGGAGGCCCGGAGGACCAACAGGCAGGCCGAGCUCUUUGCCCUUUACCCAUCAGUGGACGAGUUCUGUGAUGGAGAUGCCAACAUGUAAUAGAGGGACCCAAAGUGGAUGCCAGAAGAGAGAGAACAAUUAAAGGAUGCAGAGAAUAUGUCCAGUGAGACAUUUGCUUGUCAGUGUCUCCCUGGUGGUAUUAGAUGGGAGAAUGUUCCAUCUGAACAGAUUAAAAUAAUGAAACAUA